rnacentral:tRNA from 1 species
GCCCCCAUCGUCUAAAUGGAAUAGGACGCUGCGUUCUCAGCGCGGUAAUACCGGUUCGAGUCCGGUUGGGGGUG